AGGACGAACGCUGGCGGCGUGCCUAACACAUGCAAGUCGAACGGAACUGACGCCGGUCUUCGGAACCAUGUCAGUUAGUGGCGGACGGGUGAGUAACGCGUGAGUAACCUGCCUCUGAGAGGGGAAUAACGUUCUGAAAAGAACGCUAAUACCGCAUAACAUAUAGAAGUCGCAUGGCUUUUAUAUCAAAGAUUUUAUCGCUCGGAGAUGGACUCGCGUCCGAUUAGUUAGUUGGUGAGGUAACGGCUCACCAAGACCGCGAUCGGUAGCCGGACUGAGAGGUUGAACGGCCACAUUGGGACUGAGACACGGCCCAGACUCCUACGGGAGGCAGCAGUGGGGGAUAUUGCGCAAUGGGGGCAACCCUGACGCAGCAACGCCGCGUGAAGGAUGAAGGUUUUCGGAUUGUAAACUUCUUUUAUCAGGGACGAAUUUUGACGGUACCUGAUGAAUAAGCUCCGGCUAACUACGUGCCAGCAGCAGC
rnacentral:rRNA from 1 species